UACGGAGGGUGCGAGCGUUAAUCGGAAUUACUGGGCGUAAAGGGCGCGUAGGCGGUGAAGUAAGUCGGGUGUGAAAGCCCCGGGCUCAACCCGGGAACUGCAUCCGAUACUGCUUCGCUAGAGUAUGGUAGAGGGAAGCGGAAUUCCGGGUGUAGCGGUGAAAUGCGUAGAUAUCCGGAGGAACACCAGUGGCGAAGGCGGCUUCCUGGACCAAUACUGACGCUGAGGCGCGAAAGCGUGGGGAUCAAACAGG
rnacentral:rRNA from 1 species